rnacentral:rRNA from 1 species
UACGUAGGGAGCAAGCGUUGUCCGGAAUUACUGGGUGUAAAGGGAGUGUAGGCGGGACGGCAAGUCAGGUGUGAAAUUUAUGGGCUCAACCCAUAACCUGCAUUUGAAACUGUCGUUCUUGAGUGAAGUAGAGGUUGGCGGAAUUCCUAGUGUAGCGGUGAAAUGCGUAGAUAUUAGGAGGAACAUCAGUGGCGAAGGCGGCCAACUGGGCUUUUACUGACGCUGAGGCUCGAAAGCGUGGGGAGCAAAC